CUUCGGGAAAAGCAGUAAAACUCAGAAAAAUUGUAUGCUCUCAAAAGCCGCGCACGGCAACGCAGGCGCACGCGUACACACAGGCCUGUGGCCCUCAGUUCCAGCUCUGCGAUCCCAGUGCCUGUACCAGCCAGCCAGCCAAAUCGAAGAGGGCCGAUCAAGGAAAGCGGGAGUCGCGGGAUUUCCGGCGCCUAUUCGCGCCCCAUAAGAGCUAAUUCCGGCAAGCACGCGGUGACCAAUCAAUGCCCAGAGCGCUUCCUGACGCCACAGACCCAACUGGCAGCCUAUCUCGCUCCGUAGCCGUCCCCUUGGAUGUAACCAUGUAGAAACGAAGGGUGAAGAUGGAAAAGAGACGAAGAAAGUUGCAGCUUAAUACCGGUGUCCACUCAGACUCGAAUGCCACGGGAAGACGGAAUGGAGCGAAUGGUACAGAACCGGUUUCAUCGGGAAAGCCAGCCACAGUCCGGAGAAAGCUUCCGACUGGGAUCUGAAGGCCUGGCAUGGGGAAGGCCUCUGUCGUUGACUGCGAGUAAUACUGAAAAGACAACAAGACAUUCCAUUCUGUUAGGAAAGGGUCGUCUCAAGGGGACACAAGGAUACCGUGCAGAUAAAAUAAAGACCACAGCUUUAUCACCAUCUUGUCAUCCCUGAAUAUGUUCCCUGGCAGAAUCCUCAGCCUGUCUAGCUAUGCCUCUCUCAACAAGUUCAAAUUUGUUUAUUCAUUCCGUCAUUCUUUCAUUCUCUCCACAGUUUGUGUCAAGCACAACUAUGUGUGUUAGGAAAGAGAAAAUCAACUUUGGCUUCAUGAAACAUAUUGUGUUGGGGUCAUACAGCCCCAAAAGAUAAGUAAUUUUCAGGUGUUCAUAACUGCUGUGAUUAACAUUAAACCGGGAUAGUGAAAUAGGGGGGAUGAUACCUAGAAAGAGUGGUCAGGGAAGUUCUUUCUAAGAUUGUGACAUUUGAGUAAAAGCCUAGAGGAGAUGCCUAUCUGGGAGAAAAGUAUCCCAGACAGAGAUAAGGCCAGUUGAGAAAGUGGGGCGUGGAACUCAGUGUGCUGCUGCUGCUGCUGCAAAAUCGCUUUAAUCGUGUCUGACUCUGUGCGACCCCACAGAUGGCAGCCUACCAGGCUCCUCUGUCCCUGGGAUUCUCCAGGCAAGAAUACUGGAGUGGGUUGCCAUUUCCUUCUCCAAUGCAUGCAUGCAUGCUAAGUCACUUCAGUCAUGUCCGACUCUGUGCAACCCCCAUGGACAGCAGCCCAGCAGACUCCUCUGUCCACGGGAUUCUCUAGGCAAGAAUACCGGAGUGGGUUGCCAUUUCCUUCUCCAGGAACUCAGUGUAUUGUGUAUGAAAUGAAUGAGGAGGCCUAUGUGACUGUCACAGCAUAAUGGAGGGAGAGCCAGGAGAUCUGAUGAGAGGGGUAAUGAGGGUCAGGUCCCAUAGGGCUUUCUGGCCAUAAGGAGGACUUUGACUUGAGCCACAGGAGGUUUCUUACCAGAGGAACCCCUAGGCUUCUCUCAGAGACCCAUAUCACACAAUGAUUUUUGAGGAGCUCUUGAUUUACCCCAGAAAAGCCACAGGCCAUCUGCAAUUGAACACGCCUUUCCUGGAAUCCCCUACACUCAAGGAGAAUCCCCCCUACUGCUCCCAGUGAACAUCCGUGUCAAUUGAAGAUACCCUCAGGAGAGACAAAGCCAAGGAACCUCUUGGUGUGAGGGAGGUCACACUGAGUCUUGCAAAGGCAAAGAGGGAUGAUAUAACAAGCACAGAGAUGGCAGAGAAAAAGACAAAUAUAGAGCAUUAGACAGGGAUGAAGAGUCUACUUCUGGCAGCAACCUGUCCCCACUUAGUUAGCACCCACCUACAGGCCCCCAGCCCUGCUACUGGAUGAUGUACAGUACAUUUUCUCUAUAGGAGAAUAAAAGCCCCUUCCCAGGGACUGUCUCUAGGGAAUGACUCAGUUGCCCAUGGCCUGGGCUUUAAUCAUGCUCCCUUAACACACAUCCGGGGCCUCUGCCUAUCAUGAUAAGGACAUGUACCAGUCAUAGCGAGGCUCAUCUGUAUAUAGGGUCCCUCACAGUUUGUCCAGCCCAGCCUUCCCUCCUGCUGACCUCAGUGCCAAUUACUGCUUUGAUGGGGGAAGAGAGGCAGGGAUUUCUGCAUUUGUGGUGGAAGCCUUGUGCAAACUGGCGAAUGUGAGGUUUCUCCCCAGCUACUUGGAGGCUCACCUCUGUGACUUUUAGCACCACCUCUCCGGGGAAUAUUAAGAUUGCAUUCCAUACACCAGGUAAGAAGUUGUGUGUAUGUGAUGGGGAGACACAGAGACAUAUCCUGACAGUGAGUCAGUCACAGGGUCCUUAUGGCCCUGUGCAAACGCCCCCCUACCCUCUACGUGGCCAGGGUCAUGCUGAGUCUUCCCUGGCUCUGCCAAGGAGCCGAAGCUUACAUCUGGUUCCUCCCAUCAUCAUGAACUGAGACCUUCCAUCUGCACCAGGCCUUGAGCUCCCUUCUGCAAAUGUUGCCCUCCUUGUUGUGGGUUGGGCAGAUUCACUGAGUGGGUGUGUGUACACAGUUUUUGUCACAGGACCCCUAUCAUGGGCGGUACUUAUGUCAGCAGGUAUUGUUCUUAACAGGAUUAUUACCAUGGGCUCCUGUGAACUGCACAUGACUUACCCUUUCUGAGGAUGGCACCCCAAGCUUUUAUCUCUGUAGGGAGGCAUGGUAGAAAUCAUAGCAAAUGUGAAAUCACAGGUCUACUUCUAAGACCCGUGACAGUGGGGUCCAUCCAGCCUCAAGUCUUAAGAGGAUCUUAAGACCAUUGUCAUAUGCAGAUGCAUGAACAGCUCAGAGGCCCAACCGUCUUGACAAAGACCCCCUAAAUAGUUCAGAGACUUCAUGCCCUGGGACAGAUAUCUGGAAUCACUUCAGAGACUGCUCAUCCUAGACUCCCACUCAAAACAGCUUUAAUAGAUCACACCUGAGGACACAGAACCCAGCCAGCUCAGAAAUUCCAACUGUAGACUCAGAAAAAUUAGGAUCCCUAAGACAAACAGCGUUGCUCACAGCCAGUUCUACAGGGUUAAAUUGUAACCUCUGUGGUUGCUGAAUGACAGUGCAUCCUGAGGGAUUCAGGACGAAAAACAGGAUGAGGCACUCUGUGCUUUGGACAAGCUGGCCUUUAUUUAGUUACACGCCUACCUCAGGAAAAGGUUCAGUGACCCCAGAUUCUUGCAUCUUCCACACACAGAAAAGCAUGAAAAUGAUUUACGGUGAUAUCUGAUCUCUGUGUUUCAUAGUAAUUUUUACCAAUAUCCAUGCUUGACUGCAUGUAUUUCAUAGCCAAAAUCAUAUUGACUUUUCUGCUACCUCCUCAGAGCAGUUUCCUCAGAGCUAACAGAGUAACUGUGUCCCAGGCUAUAGUCCCCAGAAGACCCUGAAUUCAACUCAAACUCACAACUCUUCUGUUGUAUGCUUUUCUUUAAGUGGACACUACUCUAGCUAACAGCACCCCAUUAGCUCUGAGGCUUCACACUUCUCCCCCACCAUCCACAGGCUGCACCCUGGGACACAGAGCCCCAAAUCUUCGCCGCUGGGCUUCUGUGUGGGCAGUGGCAGUGGGUUUCUGUUCAGUCAACCCCAAGAGAGUGAGGCUUCCUAUCUUGAAGUCCCUGCAAUUGCAUUCACCGGCAUGUCAUCCUGAGGAAUGCAAGUUCAUUCCAGGGGUGGGGAUUGCCUUAGAGCUGAGGGGUUCUGAAAUUGAUUUCCCAUAUCUGGGUCCUGAGAAUGGACCUAACACACUCUAGUCACCUCUCGUCAUGGUGACUUUGUACCCUGCCCAAUGGGAGGUUUAGAGUGAAUACCAGAUCCACAGAACAAGCCCUGAGGACCUUGUCCUCUCUGUCAUCUCUCAGCAUCCACUGUGGGAUCCUGAAUUCUGGAGCUAGGAGAGGUCUUCCCCUCACUGUGGCUAUGACAACUCCCUUACAUCCCUCUAAUCAUCUGUCGUUUUCCAAAGGCCCUCUCCUGGUAACAGCUGCCACAAGUCCUCUCUCUCCCCAAAUCCCCACCUCUCCCCUCAUCUUCCACCAGGCCUCCCCUCCCAUGCAGGGGCCUCUUUAGCCCUUCCCCCAGCCCUACUCCCAGGGCUCAUUUACACCCUCAGCCCUUUUGUGGCCUCUCACCCAGGACCAGUGCUGCCUCAGAGGACCCCCUCAGGACCCUGCCUACUCCCUACAUUCUGCAGGACACCUCUUUCCUGCCCACACACAGGGAUCUGUCAUAAAGUCCCUGAAAGAGCCAAACUGAAAAUCACUCCAGGAUCCAGAGAAAAUCCAGACCCAGACCAGGAGUCCAGGGCACGUCCCUCAGGGCUAGGGGGAAAGGGAGAGGGUCUGUGAGAGAAAGAGCUCGACUUAAGGACACACAGGGGUGACAGGGUUUUCUUCAAGGGGCCUAGUGAGAAGAAGUGAGAUGGCACUUUAGAAGUGCUUCAGUCCAGUCGCUCAGUCGUGUCUGACACUUUGAUACCCCAUGAACUGCAGCACACCAGGGCUUGCUAUCCAUCACCAACUCCCAGAGUCCACCCAAACACAUGUCCAUUGAGUCUGUGAUGUCAUCCAACCAUCUCAUCCUGAGGAAUGCAAGUUCAUUCAGGGGUGGGGAUUGCCUUAGAGCUGAGGGGUUCUGAAAUUGAUUUCCCAUAUCUGGGUCCUGAGAAUGGACCUAACACACUCUAGUCACCUCUCGUCAUGGUGACUUUGUACCCUGCCCAAUGGGAGGUUUAGAGUGAAUACCAGAUCCACAGAACAAGCCCUGAGGACCUUGUCCUCUCUGUCAUCUCUCAGCAUCCACUGUGGGAUCCUGAAUUCUGGAGCUAGGAGAGGUCUUCCUCACUGUGGCUAUGACAACUCCCUUACAUCCCUCUAAUCAUCUGUCGUUUCCAAAGGCCCUCUCCUGGUAACAGCUGCCACAAGUCCUCUCUCUCCCCAAAUCCCCACCUCUCCCCUCAUCUUCCACCAGGCCUCCCCUCCCAUGCAGGGGCCUCUUUAGCCCUUCCCCCAGCCCUACUCCCAGGGCUCAUUUACACCCUCAGCCCUUUUGUGGCCUCUCACCCAGGACCAGUGCUGCCUCAGAGGACCCCCUCAGGACCCUGCCUACUCCCUACAUUCUGCAGGACACCUCUUUCCUG
rnacentral:lncRNA from 1 species